AAACCUUGAGUAAUUCUGAAUUUUAGCAAGGAAUCAAAGUUAAUGGGGGAGAAAGGGCUUUCUCUAUGGAUGUAUAGAAUGAAAGAGUGGAGAAAAGAGAAUCCUUACUCUCCUUAGGAAUUGUGUGAUUUGCUUAAGAGUUGUUGUUGAUGUAUGUAAUUCUGAAAUUUGAUGAUUAAAGGUGUAUGUAUCUAAUUUUCGUGACUGGAUUUAUGCAUAUAUGGUUCCCUUUAUGUGUGUAUGCUUGUG
rnacentral:lncRNA from 1 species